rnacentral:rRNA from 1 species
UACGUAGGGGGCGAGCGUUGUCCGGAUUUAUUGGGCGUAAAGAGCGUGUAGGCGGCCAGGUAGGUCUGCUGUGAAAACUCGAGGCUCAACCUCGAGACGUCGGCGGAAACCAUCUGGCUAGAGUCCGGAAGAGGAGAGUGGAAUUCCUGGUGUAGCGGUGAAAUGCGUAGAUAUCGUAAGGAAGACCAGUGGCGAAGGCGGGUCUCUGGGAAGAUACUGACGCUGAGGUGACGAAAGCGUGGGGAGCAAACAGGG